UACGUAGGGGGCAAGCGUUGUCCGGAAUCAUUGGGCGUAAAGGGCGCGUAGGUGGCCCGGUCAGUUCGUGGUGAAAGCGCGGGGCUCAACCCUGCGUCGGCCAUGAAUACUGCCGCGGCUGGAGCACUGUAGAGGCAGGCGGAAUUCCGGGUGUAGCGGUGGAAUGCGUAGAGAUCCGGAGGAACACCGGUGGCGAAGGCGGGUCUCUGGGCAUCUCCUGACGCUGAGGCGCGAAAGCGUGGGGAGCAAACGGG
rnacentral:rRNA from 1 species